CCUACGGGUGGCAGCAGUGGGGAAUAUUGGACAAUGGGCGAAAGCCUGAUCCAGCCAUGCCGCGUGUGUGAAGAAGGCCUUCGGGUUGUAAAGCACUUUCAGUGGGGAAGAAAGCCUUGGGGCUAAUACCCUCGAGGAAGGACAUCACCCACAGAAGAAGCACCGGCUAACUCCGUGCCAGCAGCCGCGGUAAUACGGAGGGUGCGAGCGUUAAUCGGAAUUACUGGGCGUAAAGCGCGCGUAGGCGGUCUGAUAAGCCGGUUGUGAAAGCCCCGGGCUCAACCUGGGAACGGCAUCCGGAACUGUCAGGCUAGAGUGCAGGAGAGGAAGGUAGAAUUCCAGGUGUAGCGGUGAAAUGCGUAGAGAUCGGGAGGAAUACCAGUGGCGAAGGCGGCCUUCUGGACUGACACUGACGCUGAGGUGCGAAAGCGUGGGUAGCAAACAGGAUUAGAUACCCGAGUAGUC
rnacentral:rRNA from 1 species